rnacentral:rRNA from 1 species
AGGGAAACAGCCCAGAUCUACGACUAAGGUCCCAAAGUUCAAGUUAAGUGGAAAAGGAUGUGCAAUUGCGUAGACAACCAGGAUGUUGGCUUAGAAGCAGCCAUUCAUUCAAAGAGUGCGUAAUAGCUCACUGGUCGAGUGAUUGUGCGCCGAAAAUGUAACGGGGCUAAACUUGACACCGAAGUCUAGGCAGAAGGAAACUUCUGGGUAGGGGAGCAACGUGUACGGGCAGAAGCAGAAGCGGAAGCGACUGUGGACUGUACAGGAGAGAGAAUGCCGGCAUGAGUAGCGAGAGCAAAGUGAGAAUCUUUGCCGUCGAAAGCCUAAGGUUUCCUGAGGAAGGCUCGUCCUCUCAGGGUAAGUCGGGACCUAAGCCGAGGACAAUAGUCGUAGGCGAUGGACAAUCGGUUAAUAUUCCGAUACCGCCGAGCAACCGGAUGCAGUGACACAGAAGGAUAGGCAGAGCGUGGCGAUGGUAGACCACGUCCAAGCAGUGAGGCUGUUGUGUAGUGAAGUACGCACGACGGAAGGCUGGGCUGUGAUGGGGAACGAUUACGAUCGGUAAGCUGCUGAAUUCACGCUGGCGAGAAAAGCUGCUACGAAGCGAAGGCGCCCGUACCGCAAACCGACACAGGUAGGCGAGGAGAGAAUCCUAAGACGAGCGGGAGAACCCUUGUUAAGGAACUCGGCAAAAUGACUCCGUAACUUAGGGAGAAGGAGUGCCCAGGAAUGGGCCGCAGAGAAUAGACCCAAGCGACUGUUUACCAAAAACACAGGUCUGUGCGAAGUAGAGAUACGACGUAUACGGGCUGACACCUGCCCAGUGCCGGAAGGUUAAGGGGAAAUGUUAGGGCAACCGAAGCAUGGAACUUAAGCCCCGGUGAACGGCGGCCGUAACUAUAACGGUCCUAAGGUAGCGAAAUUCCUUGUCGGGUAAGUUCCGACCCGCACGAAUGGUGUAACGAUUUGGGUACUGUCUCAACAAGGGACCCGGCGAAAUUGUAGUAUGUGUGAAGAUGCACAUUACCCGCGACUGGACGGAAAGACCCCGUAGAGCUUUACUGUAGCUUGAUAUUGGAAUUCGGUAAUUUAUGUACAGGAUAGGUGGGAGACUUGGAAACAUGGGCGUCAGCUCAUGCGGAGUCAACCUUGGGAUACCACCCUUGAAUUAUUGGGUUUCUAACACCAGACCGUAAUCCGGCUGGUGGACAGUGUCAGGUGGGCAGUUUGACUGGGGCGGUCGCCUCCCAAAAUGUAACGGAGGCGUUCUAAGGUUCCCUCAGGAUGGUUGGAAAUCAUCCAUAGAGCGUAAAGGUAGAUAGGGAGCUUAACUGCGAGACAGACAUGUCGAGCAGAUACGAAAGUAGGACUUAGUGACCCGGCGGUUGAGUAUGGAAUUGCCGUCGAUUAACGGAUAAAAGUUACCUCGGGGAUAACAGGCUUAUCUCCCCCAAGAGUUCACAUCGACGGGGAGGUUUGGCAC